CACGUAGGCACCAAGCGUUGUCCGGAUUUAUUGGGCGUAAAGAGCUCGUAGGCGGUUCGGUAAGUCGGGUGUGAAACCUCCAGGCUCAACCUGGAGACGCCACCCGAUACUGCUGUGACUAGAGUCCGGUAGGGGAGCGUGGAAUUCCUGGUGUAGCGGUGAAAUGCGCAGAUAUCAGGAGGAACACCAGCGGCGAAGGCGGCGCUCUGGGCCGGAACUGACGCUGAGGAGCGAAAGCGUGGGGAGCAAACAGG
rnacentral:rRNA from 1 species